GCGCUGAAGUUUCAUCUUUCUUCAAAAGCCCACCCUUGUCAUCGUAGCCUUCAGUCAAGAACACAGAAUCCCUGAGGCCUUUCAAACUCACAUAAAACAACUCUGGGUGCCUUACAAUCAAUCCCCUCAACUUGUUAGGAAAUCCAAAUUCCUUCCUGAAAUGUGUCAAAUGGUCUAUUAAAGUUCUCUUUUCAACUGUCAUUCCCAGCACUUCUCUUAUCACUGCACAAGCUCUUUUUUCUGCCUCAAUGGACUCUUUAACGAAUUCUUCUGAAGAAGUGUUGUAAGGACACACAUCAGGCAAUUCUUCAAACUUGAUCAGGAAAUCUUGGUGACGUCUCUUCAGAUUAAGCCCCUUUCGAAGUCUCAAAUGCUUAAAUUUUAAAGGUCUAUCUACUAUCAAACUAAGUGAAACAUCAGGGCAGGAU
rnacentral:misc_RNA from 1 species